rnacentral:rRNA from 1 species
UUGAUCAUGGCUCAGAACGAACGCUGGCGGCAUGCCUAACACAUCCAUAUCGAACGAGACCUUCGGGACUAGUGGCGCACGGGUGCGCAUCACGUGUGAAUCUGCCCCUUGGUUCGGAAUAACACUUACAAAUGACUGAUAAUACCGGAUGAUGACUUCGGCUCCAAAGAUUUAUCGCCGAGGGAUGAGCCCGCGUAUGAUUAGGUAGUUGGAGGGGUAAAGGCCUACCAAACCUACUAUCCUUACCUGGUCUGAAAGGAUGAUCAACCUCACUGGGACUGACACACGGCCGACACUCCUACAGGAGGCAGAAUCGGGGAAUAUUGGACAAUGGGCGAAAGCCUGAUCCGGCAAUGCCGCGGGAGUGAUGAAGGCCUUAGGGUCAUAAAGCUCUUUUACCAUGGAUGAUGAUGACAGUACCUGGAAAAUAACCUCCGGCUAACUCCUUGCCAGCACCCGCUGAAAUACCGACGGAGCUAGCGUUGUUCGGAAUUACUGGGCGUAAAAAGUACCUAGGCGGUUAUUCAAGUCAUAGGUGAAAGCCCGGCGCUCAACCCCGGAACUGCCUUUGAAACUAGAUAGCUACACUCUUGUAGAGGUUACUGUAAUUCCGAGUGAAUAGGUGAAAUUCGAAGAUAUUCGAAAUAACACCGUUGGCGAAAGCUACUAACUGGACAAGUACUGACGCUGAUGUACGAAAGCGUGAGGAGCAUACACGAGUAGAUACCCUGGUAGUCCACGCCGUACACGAUGAUAACUAGAUGCUCGGACACUUGCUGACUGAGUGACACAGCUAACGCAUUACCUUAUCCGCCUGGUGACUACGGUCACGAGAUUAGUACUCCAACUGAUUGACAGGCGCCUGCACAAGCGGCGCAGCAUG